rnacentral:rRNA from 1 species
CGGACGGGUGAGUAAUGUCUGGGAAACUGCCUGAUGGAGGGGGGUAACUACUGGAAACGGUAGCUAAUACCGCAUAACGUCGCAAGACCAAAGAGGGGGACCUUCGGCCUCUUGCCAUCGGAUGUGCCCAGAUGGGAUUAGCUAGUAGGUGGGGUAACGGCUCACCUAGGCGACGAUCCCUAGCUGGUCUGAGAGGAUGACCAGCCACACUGGAACUGAGACACGGUCCAG